AUUGAAAGCUGGCGUCAUGCCUAACACAUGCAAGUCGAACGGGGCAGCAAUGCCUAGUGGCGGACGGGUGAGGAAUACGUAGGAAUCUGCCCUUAAGUGGGGGAUAACCAGGGGAAACCCUGACUAAUACCGCAUGAUCUCUUCGGAGCAAAGAGGGGGACCGCAAGGCCUCUCGCUUCUGGAUGAGCCUACGUCUGAUUAGCUAGUUGGUAGGGUAAAGGCCUACCAAGGCGACGAUCAGUAACUGGUCUGAGAGGAUGAUCAGUCACACCGGAACUGAGACACGGUCCGGACUCCUACGGGAGGCAGCAGUGGGGAAUAUUGGACAAUGGGCGCAAGCCUGAUCCAGCAAUGCCGCGUGCAGGAAGAAGGCCUUCGGGUUAUAAACUGCUUUUGUACGGAACGAAACGGUCCUGGUCAAUACCCGGGGCUAAUGACGGUACCGUAAGAAUAAGCACCGGCUAACUACGUGCCAGCCGCCGCCGUAAUAC
rnacentral:rRNA from 1 species